rnacentral:lncRNA from 13 species
AGCCUGCACCUUACUGUGGAAGCCAAAGUGGAACCAUGCCAACUCCAGACUCACCUCGAGCUCCCCUUGUCUGGGAAGCAGCUCCCUCCACUGCAGCCACUCAACACAGCUGGUCUCAUUGCCGCAGGGCAUGCCCCUCUGUGGCCAUCCAGGCCUCCUCCCCAACACACCCACAGAAGUCUGUGUCCCAUCCCCGCAAAGGGCUCCCAGAGUGCCCCUGUGUGGACGUCUACACCCAGGGCCACAGCACUGAACCCUUUCUCACUGUUUUCCAGGAGGGAGCUCUCUCAGGCCCAGGGGGUGUUGAUCAGAGCCCCAAAGCUCACACCUCCUCUUCUGUCUCUGCCUUCAUGUCUUCAGGAGCUCCUCCCACAUGAAGAGUCUUGGCUCCUGCUCUGCCACACUGACAACAUCUGUCUUCCAGCAGAUUCCUAAUACUGAGCAGCUUAGGGGCAGCCAUAUUUCACAGACCUGGUUUCCAAUUUUGCACAAUCUGCAUCUCCUCCUGUGCACAGAGGAGGAAACCAGGCUUCCAGCCCCAGAGCUGGCAAAUGCAGAGACCCUAGGCUCCCUGUGUGCCAGGACCACCGGCCUUGCCCUCUGCUACUUGGGGCAUCCUGCAGCAUGUGGAACCUGGACAGGCAGCCACACAGAGGGAAUGCCAGGCAUGCCCCCAAAGCAGCAAUGGUGAGGAAGGACCUGUGUGCUCAGUGUGAGCUCAGGACAGCAGCAUCAUGCUAGGAGUUCAGAAAUGAUCUCUCCUCAUUUUAACCGAGAAGAUUCUGAGGCCCGGAUCCACUGCCCUCCCUCCCAAAGGCCAGACUCAAGAGGAGGCAGUGCAGGAGGAUGUUGCAGCUGGGCCUGUCUCCUCACAGCUCGGACAUGGCAUUGGCCAAGGUGCAGUCUUUGCACGCAGGCCCAUCUGCUCUGCAAGGCCUUGUCGGGGAGAUGGCAAGCUCUGGGGCUGCAUCGCACCCAAUCGUGUCCCCCAGCCUGUUUCCUCACUUUACAUGGGACAGAAGACCUGCCUGCAGGGGGGCUUGAUGCUGUACAAGACAGUGAUUAAAACACAUGGACACAGGGAGGGGAGCACUACACACUGGGGUCUGUUGGGGGGAAUAGGGGAGAGACAGCAGGGGGUGGGGAGUUGGGGAGAGA